rnacentral:sRNA from 1 species
AGUUUUGGGAGGCUGUACCCCAUAAAGGAAGGGUGCAAGGGCCUGUGGGCUGACAGGAAUUACAGACCGCCUUCCAGGUGGCCCCACCACCUGUGCUGGGCCCCUGCUGGGCUCACUUGACUGUCCCUGAGCCCAUCAUUCACCCUUUUGGAGCAAUUUUUGAAACAGACCGCUAAGUACCCAGGGUAUUAGCUGGUCUCAUCCCUACCAUGCCGGGGAACAUCAUUUGGAUCACCACAGUAGCAGCCCAAGGAGACACACAAGUAGCUGCUUUCUCGGACUGUAUUAUUUUCUGAAACACAUCCACCAGGAGCUGGACAAGGAGCUGGGGGAGAGCGAGGGCCUCAGUGACGACGAGGAGACCAUCUCCACCAGGGUGGUCCGGCGGCGGGUCUUCCUGAAGGGGAAUGAGUUUCAGAAUAUUCCAGGGGAGCAGGUGACAGAGGAGCAAUUCACGGAUGAGCAGGGCAACAUUGUCACCAAGAAGAUCAUUCGCAAGGUGGUUCGACAGAUAGACUUGUCCAGCGCCGAUGCCGCCCAGGAGCAC